rnacentral:tRNA from 1 species
AACUAAUGAACUUGAAUAAGUAUAUAUUUUGAAAAUAUAUAAAAGAAAUAAUAACUUUCUAUUAGUUU